GGCCUCCUUGUGUUUACCACAGUCUGUGUUCUUACCCUGACUGUGUAGAAAGAGGAGGCAGAGUAGACCUUCCCUAUAUACACCCCAGCUCAGGUCUUCUGCCUGGUUUGUAUUGUGAAUGGGGGUACAUGG
ensembl:snoRNA